rnacentral:rRNA from 1 species
GACAAACGCUGGCGGUAUGCCUAACACAUGCAAGUCGAACGGACAGAACAGGGAAGCUUUUCGGAGUGGAACUGGAAAGUUAGUGGCGGAUGGGUUAGUAACGCGUGGACAACCUACCUUGUAAAGGGGAAUAACCUCGAGAAAUCGAAGCUAAUACCCCAUAAUAACCUUGCUUCGCAUGAAGUAAGGAGGAAAGGCGGCCUUAGCGCUGUCGAUACCAGAUUGGUCCGCGUCUUAUUAGCUAGUUGGUGAGGUAAAGGCUCACCAAGGCGACGAUCAGUAGCCGGCCUGAGAGGGUGAACGGCCACAUUGGAACUGAGACACGGCCCAAACUCCUACGGGAGGCAGCAGUGGGGAAUCUUCCGCAAUGGGCGAAAGCCUGACGGAGCAAUGCCGCGUGAGUGAAGAAGGCCUUCGGGUUGUAAAACUCUGUCAUUAUCGAAGAGAGAGUGUUGUAGUAACUGACAAUAUUAGGACGGUAGAUGAGGAGGAAGCCCCGGCUAACUAUGUG